CGCACACGUCUUUCCAGAAAGCCUUUUUUCUCAGGGACAUGCUUGGUGAUAGAGCGAAAAUACAUAUUCCUUUCAUUAAAGACCCAUUUUCCCAGAAAAGCCUUUCUCCGCGAGAGAGAAAACAAUCGAUUCCCGUUCGUUAAAGGGUGAGAUACAAAUUUAAAACCAUUUAUUUAAUUCAAAAUAUUUAGUACAGACCUUUUAAAACAUGUUGUAAUUAAUUAAACAAUUUUACUAUUCCUUUCUUACAGAUAAAGGGCCUGGUUAUAGGUUUUGACAUCCUGCCGUUUCCAAUUCCACCCCGUCGUCAAGACAGGCUCUCUUGCUCGUAGGAUAUCCCACACAAGCCCCAGCUCCGUAAGUUUUCCAGGCACAAUGUAGUUCACAUCCAGACAGGCUUUGGAUAAUACAUACAAACUAGCAGAUUUUGUAGCAUCUCUACUAUAUCUGACAUGUUACUGUGGUCUUUUUUUAAAAGUCAAGUGUACACUUUUGUUUCACAGUAGAUUUGUUUAAGACCACCAAGAAACACCUGAUUUAUCCCACAGCAUUAAUUAAUACGCGAUAUGUAUAUGCCCUCCUAUUGUUGAAUUGUUUAGAU